UCAAUAUAAGUUGAUUAAUAUUUAUUUAUUAAUUUUUUUGUUUUUUAUUAAAUUAUUAAAAAUAAUUAUAUAGGGAAUUUAGUUUAAGUAAUUUUUAAUGAAUAAAUAAUUUUUAUUAUAGUGUAUUAGUAUCGUGAGAGAAUAUUGAAAUAUUUUGAAAAAUUUUUAUUUUAAAAGAAGAUUUAAUUUAUCGUACCUUGUGUAUCAGGGUUUAUCAAUUAAACAAUAAUUAUUUAUUUUUCUCGAUUUUAUAAGAGUUAAUAGUUUAUGAAAGUUAAUGUAUCAAAAUUAUUUUUAAUAAAUUAUUAGAAAUGAAAUGUUAUUCGUUUAUGAAGGUAUCUAGUUUUUUUAGAAAUAAAUUUAAUUUAUUAGUUUUUAAUUUUUUUUCUAUUUUUAUAGUGAAAAAAGUUUUUAAUUAAAAUUUUCUAGGGGAUAAGCUUUAGAAAAUAUUAUUAUAAGGUAGAUAAUUUUUAAAAAUAUGUAUGUAUAGAAUUUGCAAUCAUUAAUAAGUUUGUUAUAAAUUAUUUUAUUAUUUAUAUUAUUUAUUUUUCUUUAAUUAUUUAUAAAAAUGUUUACUUUAAUUUUUAAAGUUAAGUAAUAAUGAUAGAAUUAGUAUAUUUAUUGUAAAGAUAAUUUUAUUUGAGAAGUUUAUGUAAAGAAUUCGGCAAAUUAGUAUGCCCGCCUGUUUAACAAAAACAUGUCUUUUUGAAUUGUAUUAAAAGUCUGACCUGCCCAAUGAAAAAUUUUUAAUGGCCGCAGUAUACUAACUGUGCAAAGGUAGCAUAAUCAUUAGUCUUUUAAUUGAAGGCUGGAAUGAAUGGUUGGACGAGGUAUAAGCUGUUUCAUAUAAAUUUAUAAUAGAAUUUUAUAUUUUAGUCAAAAAGCUAAAAUUUUAUUAAAAGACGAGAAGACCCUAUAAAUCUUUAUAUUUUGUUUAAUUUAAAUUUUUUAGAUUAGUUUUAUUUUUAUUAAAUUAAAUAUUUUAUUGGGGUGAUAUUAAAAUUUAAUUAACUUUUAAUUUUUUAGAUCAUUAAUUUAUGAAUAAUUGAUCCGUUAAUAGCGAUUAUAAGUUUAAGUUACUUUAGGGAUAACAGCGUAAUUUUUUUGGAGAGUUCUUAUCGAUAAAAAAGAUUGCGACCUCGAUGUUGGAUUAAGAGAUAAUUUUAGGUGUAGCCGCUUAAAUUUUAAGUCUGUUCGACUUUUAAAUUCUUACAUGAUCUGAGUUCAAACCGGUG
rnacentral:rRNA from 1 species